rnacentral:lncRNA from 1 species
UGAGCCGGGAAGGACAGAGACCCAAGUCCCAUCCCUCUGGGGCCCCCUUGGAAUGGGGGAGGCGAACAGGAAACCACCACAAACAUGCCCCCCCGCCAUCCCAGGAGAAGCAGCAGCUCUCUGCCUCCUUGACUGAGCUCCAUUACCUCCAAGCUGAGAGGGUUGUUCAAGAGGGCGUGUGGGAUUCUUUUGAAAACACAUUUUUAGAAAGCACCCUUUUAACAACUGAACAUGAUUUGGUUGAAAAUAAACAUCCCCGGGUACUCUUGUGGUACAUGUUUAUGAUUUUGAUGCUUCUGGUCUGAAUGUACAACCUUCACAUUGUACAUUACAAACACUACUGUCAAGUUUAUAGAUUUUCAUUUUAUUUGCUAAUUCAUUUUUCAGUUCUCUGCACUGCUUGUAAAUCAGGCAAACCUGAUAAACUGUCUAAAC